GAGUUUGAUCGUGGCUCAGGACGAACGCUGGCGGCGUGCUUAACACAUGCAAGUCGAGCGAUGAAGUUUCCUUCGGGAAACGGAUUAGCGGCGGACGGGUGAGUAACACGUGGGUAACCUGCCUCAUAGAGGGGAAUAGCCUUUCGAAAGGAAGAUUAAUACCGCAUAAGAUUGUAAUGCCGCAUGGCAUAGCAAUUAAAGGAGCAAUCCGCUAUGAGAUGGACCCGCGUCGCAUUAGCUAGUUCGGUGAGGUAACGGCUCACCAAGGCGACGAUGCGUAGCCGACCUGAGA
rnacentral:rRNA from 1 species